rnacentral:sRNA from 1 species
UCCUAGCCCUGAUAGAAACGGCAUCCUUUUGUGACUGGGUUAGGCGCAAAAGAUAGAGUGAAUAGCAGGAAAUAGC